rnacentral:rRNA from 1 species
UACGAAGGGGGCUAGCGUUGUUCGGAAUUACUGGGCGUAAAGCGCACGUAGGCGGGUUGCUAAGUCAGGGGUGAAAUCCUGGAGCUCAACUCCAGAACUGCCUUUGAUACUGGCGACCUUGAGUCCGGGAGAGGUGAGUGGAACUGCGAGUGUAGAGGUGAAAUUCGUAGAUAUUCGCAAGAACACCAGUGGCGAAGGCGGCUCACUGGCCCGGUACUGACGCUGAGGUGCGAAAGCUAGGGUAGCAAACGGG